GGACGGGUAGCUCAGCUGGAUAGAGUGUUGGCCUCCGAAGCCAAAGGUCGCGGGUUCGAAUCCCGCCUCGUCUACCA
rnacentral:tRNA from 3 species